AAAUAAUAAGGGGAUGCUUAACAUUAAAUGAGAUCACUAAUUGUUCAACUAAUAAACCCUUAAUUAAUUCAUUUCUCCUCUAUUCUCUAUCUCUCUCUCUAUCUCUCUUUCUCUCGUCUCUCUCUCUGCGCCUGAGUCUCCACCGCCGUCGUCUGCUCGUCGCCGGAGGAAGCCUUCUCCUCCACCUUCUCCGCCCUAGCCGUCUUCUCUUCCACUUGCCUUUCCCCUGCUGGUCGUCGGAGGAAGCCUUCUCCUCCCUCUGGCCUUCCCUCGCGUCGUCACGGCAGCCCUCGUCGCCGCCGCUUCUUCCUCUAAUUCUCCAGCCAACAGCAGUAUUAAGUCGCCGCCACCGCCUCUUUCCCCCAAACCUCAGGUCUCUAAACCCCUUCAAGGCGAGGAUGUUGCAGGUGAGGGCAAUUGGGACAGAUCUGGUGAGGUGAGGGCGGCCAUGUAGGUGGGGGACGUCGGCGGCGAGAUUCGAGAUCAAUUCGUCGAACUUGCUCCUUGCCGACUGCAAAUUUCAUUAAUUUCUUGCAAAUUUCUUCUCUCAUUUCUUGUUGUUGUUCGCCCAGUUGAUGUUUUAAUUGCUUGAAAAUUUGUUGCUUUUCUGUUGUUGCUCAUCGCCUAUUUCUUGAUUUGGGUGAAAUGCUACUGAGGGAAGAGAUUUCAUUUUCAUUUU
rnacentral:lncRNA from 1 species